rnacentral:rRNA from 1 species
AUCAUUACUGAGUUACAAACUCCCAAACCUUUGUGAACCUGUACCAACGUUGCUUCGGCGUGCCGUCCCGGGCGCGGCUCAGGCCGUGACCCGGACCCAGGCGGCCGCCGGGGACCAAACUCCCUGUCUUUAUAGUGGACUUCUGAGUGGCAUAAGCAAAUAAUCAAAACUUUCAGCAACGGAUCUCUUGGCUCUGGCAUCGAUGAAGAACGCAGCAAAAUGCGAUAAGUAAUGUGAAUUGCAGAAUUCAGUGAAUCAUCGAAUCUUUGAACGCACAUUGCGCCCGCCAGUACUCUGGCGGGCAUGCCUGUCCGAGCGUCAUUUCAACCCUCAGGGCCCCCCGUCUCGGGGGGCGCUGGUGUUGGGGAUCGGCCGUCCCAGCGGCGGCCGCCCCCGAAAUGUAGUGGCGGUCCCACCGUGACCUCCCCUGUGCAGUAAUCAGCUCGCAGAGGGAUAGCGGUGCGGCCACGCCGUAAAACGCC